CAAAACAGCCAUAUCACCCUGCAGCCCAUCACUGAAGCCAAGCAGGGCUGAGCCUGGUCAGUACCUGGAUGGGAGAACACAUGGGAAAACUAGGUUGCUGCUGGAA
rnacentral:rRNA from 1 species